ACAGCAUUACAGACUGGAGUACGUUCGUUGGGUGGACGAGCUGUUAGCAGAGUCUUUGACCACCUACACCAAGCCAGUCAAUGAUGAAGGUUAUGUUCGUCGAUCAAGCAAAAGGGAGAUGGUCAGGGAUGUUUAUCUACCUCCUCAUCUGUAUGGAGAGCUGGUACAGAAAAAAAAUGGAUUUAAAGUUCUGCAGAAAACGAAUGAUAUCGAGGAGUGCGUUGGGAUUAUCAGGGACUUGGAACCUGAUUCCCGAGAGAACAUCAUUCAGAUCAAGGCGGCUUUGUGGGCUCUGGUAAGGCACUGUGUAU